rnacentral:rRNA from 1 species
AUUGAACGCUGACGGCAUGCUUAACACAUGCAAGUCGAACGCGAAAGUCCUUCGGGCGAGUAGAGUGGCGGACGGGUGAGUAACGCGUGGGAAUCUACCCUAGAGCGGGGGACAACCCGGGGAAACCCGGGCUAAUACCGCAUACGUCCUACGGGAGAAAGAGGGCCUCUGCUUGCACGCUCUCACUCCAGGAUGAGCCCACGUCCGAUUAGCUAGUUGGUAGGGUAAAGGCCUACCAAGGCCACGAUCGGUAGCUGGUCUGAGAGGAUGAUCAGCCACACUGGGACUGAGACACGGCCCAGACUCCUACGGGAGGCAGCAGUGGGGAAUAUUGGACAAUGGGCGCAAGCCUGAUCCAGCAAUGCCGCGUGUGUGAAGAAGGCCUGCGGGUUGUAAAGCACUUUCAGUGGGGAAGAACAGAUUCGGGUCAAUACCCGGAGCCCUGACGUUACCCACAGAAGAAGCACCGGCUAACUCCGUGCCAGCAG